rnacentral:rRNA from 4 species
UACGGGGGGGGUAAGCGUUGUUCGGAAUUACUGGGCGUAAAGGGCUCGUAGGCGGCCAACUAAGUCAGACGUGAAAUCCCUCAGCUUAACUGGGGAACUGCGUCUGAUACUGGAUGGCUUGGAUCCGGAAGAGGGAUGCGGAAUUCCAGGUGUAGCGGUGAAAUGCGUAGAUAUCUGGAGGAACACCGGUGGCGAAGGCGGCAUCCUGGGCCGGUAUUGACGCUGAGGAGCGAAAGCCAGGGGAGCAAACGGG